UCUACACCUAAAGAUAUUGCAGGUGUGGCUUCUGUGUCACAUGUGCAUCAGUGAGUGGCACAGAGGAGACAGACUAUGUCUAUGCUCAGUGUUCUGAAAUAUGAACAUCUGAGUGAUUAGUAGCCUAACAUU
ensembl:snoRNA